CGAUGGGGAGCCCGCAGCAGCGGGCUGAGAGGGGACUAUUGCUGUCCCGACCCUAGGAACCUGAUUUGGACAAUGCCAACGUAGGGAGAAGAA
rnacentral:ncRNA from 1 species